rnacentral:lncRNA from 13 species
CCGAAUACAACUGAGUAUCCUUGAAACUGAUGGAGACAUUAAGACCUGGUUCAGCCCUUGGGUCCUAGAACUUCCUCUGAGUUUAAUUCCUUGGGCUCCUCUGUUAAUUAGCACAAGAACAUUUUCUGGAGUCAGAAUCAGUGUGACACGUGUAACCAGAGUGCAUGUUAAGAUAAGGUGUCCUGAGACUUUGUUCCCACACCACAGGAAACAAAAAGCGCCACUGCUCUUAGCAUUUCUCCAGAGGCUGACGAAAGUGAUGAACUGAGCUCUUAGUGUACUGCAAGCUGAAUACACUUGAGCAUAUAAGCGAAUGAGGAAAGAAAGAAGGCAGAGUUAUUGAGGCAACAAUUCAGAUUUAAUUGCAUUUGAUAUAGACCACCCUUUAAAAAUAGUUUGGUGGGUAAAAGGCUGCAGUAAUUUAUGGAACAUUCUGCUUGCUUCCAGGGAAGUUGACAAGUCUGGACUGAAUCAAGAGAAUCAGCAUAAAUCUCAGCCGAUGCCUAAUUUUAGAGAUGUCUGGUCUUUGAAGGAGUCUUGCCACAGCCAGAUGGGGUGGGAGACAGCAUUUGAGGGUGGAAAUGCAGGAGGUGCCAAACUGAAGCUCAAAAGGUUAAACCCAUUUUUGUGGCUGAUAAAUCCUAAGCAAAAAUGAAUUGGAUUGUGAGAAGAGUUAUGUACUGUAAACUGGAGUCCCUGGGAGAGGCUGUGGAAGUCCUGGAUGUUCUCAGAAGGACACCAGCCAGGCAUAUUCGAUUAAGGACCACCCUAAUGACCUCAUUUCAACUAAAUCACCUCUGUGAAGACCCUGUCUCAAAUAAAGUCACUUUCUGAGGUACUUGGAUUAAGAAUUCAACAUGAAUUUUUCGAGAGGACACAAUUCAGCCCCUACAGGAGCUUCUAAGGUAAUCAUUUCUCUACUCUAUGUUAGAGUGCGUCUGUCCUGCUUGUGGGUCCAGCUGUUUCUACUGGCAAAAGCAUCUGUCUUUCAGUGUUGCUAACAGCCAUCCCAUCUAUUCCUAAGCUGUGCUGGCCUAGGAAAUUUUAGAAGCUGAUAAGCCUAGCUUGACUCUGUAGACACAAAAUUUCAGGAGCUGAACAUGGGAUGGAGAUACAAAAGAAAGGGUCUUGGUUUCAGGUGUACCUGUUUGAAACAUGAAGGGCUGGCUUAUAGUCAGGAGUGAAAAUAAAAGAUCCCUGUGGUGUUUUCUAGUAGGAUAA